UACGAAGGGGGCUAGCGUUAAUCGGAAUUACUGGGCGUAAAGCGUGCGCAGGCGGCGCGUUAAGACAGGUGUGAAAGCCCCGAGCUUAACUUGGGAAUUGCGCUUGUGACUGGCGGGCUGGAGUGUGGCAGAGGGAGGUGGAAUUCCACGUGUAGCAGUGAAAUGCGUAGAGAUGUGGAGGAACACCGAUGGCGAAGGCAGCCUCCUGGGCCAGCACUGACGCUCAUGCACGAAAGCGUGGGGAGCAAACAGG
rnacentral:rRNA from 1 species